UACGUAGGGGGCAAGCGUUGUCCGGAAUCAUUGGGCGUAAAGAGCGUGUAGGCGGCCUGGUAAGUCCGCUGUGAAAGUCCAGGGCUCAACCCUGGAAUGCCGGUGGAUACUGUCGGGCUAGAGUCCGGAAGGGGCGAGUGGAAUUCCCGGUGUAGUGGUGAAAUGCGUAGAUAUCGGGAGGAACACCAGUGGCGAAGGCGACUACCUGGCCUGUUCUUGACGCUGAGGCGCGAAAGCUAGGGGAGCAAACGGG
rnacentral:rRNA from 1 species